CCUUAACAUAAUGUUUAAGAAUUCUCCAUGUUGUAAAACACAUCAGAAUUUCAUUUCUUUUUAAGGCCGAAUACUCCAUUUUAUGCAAUUACCACAUUGUAUUUAUCCAUUUAUCCGUUGACUGACAUUUGCAUUGUUUCUACCUUUUGACUACUGUGAAUAAUGCUGCUGUGAGCAAUGGUCCUAAUUAUUUUCAGAGUGGUCUUUGAAACCUGAGAUGGAUGAAGAAAAAAAUAUCAAGAGUGACACAUAUGUUAAAGGCAAAGUUUGAGAAGAUGGAAAGCCACUGACAGUGAGGUUAGGAAGUUUCUAAAGAGAAGAUGUACUUGAGAUGCUCACACCAGGAAAAGAUGCCAACGAGGCUCACAGAGAAAUGAGCUUUGUGAGGAGUACAAAGAAGCAGGAGUUAAAAUACCAAUGUGAAAGGCGAACAAGAUGAAGAUUCACGAACUGCUCCACGGAAGCACAGGUGAAGAAGAGGUCAGGCUUUUUCUACUGCAAGGUGGCAUAUAGUCAACAGUGAAUUCUGGAGUCUAGUCAGAAUCGUGCAGACUUUAACUUACCUUUCUACCAUAAAGACACUGAAAGAAGAUGACUCCAACUGACCAUACAUCAACCUUGUUGGAAAUCUUUGGUGGUUCUUUUCCAACUACAAAACACUCAGGAGGUAAAUACCUACAGUUUUUUGGGGGGAGAAAACAGGAUACUAUUAAGAAUCUGUAACUUAAAGCCUUCUCAAUGUACAUUUAGAAUACUCAGAACACUCAUGUUACCCAUACAUAAAACCUUAGGACUUUCAUCAAUAAAAAUCACCAAAAGUUUU